GACGAACGCUGGCGGCGUGCUUAACACAUGCAAGUCGAACGGUAAGGCCCUUCGGGGUACACGAGUGGCGAACGGGUGAGUAACACGUGGGUGAUCUGCCCUGCACUUCGGGAUAAGCCUGGGAAACUGGGUCUAAUACCGGAUAGGACCACUGCCUGCAUGGGUGGUGGUGGAAAGCUUUUGCGGUGUGGGAUGGGCCCGCGGCCUAUCAGCUUGUUGGUGGGGUGAUGGCCUACCAAGGCGACGACGGGUAGCCGGCCUGAGAGGGGGACUGGCCACACUGGGACUGAGAUACGGCCCAGACUCCUACGGGAGGCAGCAGUGGGGAAUAUUGCACAAUGGGCGCAAGCCUGAUGCAGCGACGCCGCGUGAGGGAUGACGGCCUUCGGGUUGUAAACCUCUUUCAGCACCGACGAAGCGCAAGUGACGGUAGGUGCAGAAGAAGGACCGGCCAACUACGUGCCAGCCGCCGCCGUAAGAC
rnacentral:rRNA from 1 species